UACGUAGGGGGCACGCGUUGUUCGGAUUUACUGGGCGUAAAGGGCGCGUAGGCGGCGCGUAAAGUCGGACAUGAAAUCAUUAGGCUCAACCUAAUGGCUGUGUCCGUUACUUACGUGCUUGGAGUGCGGGAGAGGCAGCCGGAAUUCUCGGUGUAGCGGUGAAAUGCGUAGAUAUCGAGAGGAACACCGGUGACGUAGGUGGGUCGCUGGAUCGACACUGACGCUGAGGCGCGAAAGCUAGGGGAGCAAACGGG
rnacentral:rRNA from 1 species